rnacentral:rRNA from 1 species
AGAGGGUGCGAGCGUUAAUCGGGGUUACUGGGCGUAAAGGGCGCGUAGGCGGUUAUAUAAGUGAGAUGUGAAAACCCUGGGCUUAACCUGGGACGUGCAUCUUAUACUGUGUAGCUAGAGUACUGUAGAGGGUAGUGGAAUUUCCGGUGUAGCGGUGAAAUGCGUAGAGAUCGGAAGGAACACCAGUGGCGAAGGCGGCUACCUGGACAGAUACUGACGCUGAGGCGCGAGAGCGUGGGGAGCAAACAGGAUUAGAUACCCUGGUAGUCCACGCUGUAAACGAUGAGAACUAGAUGUUGGUAGGCAAGACCUAUUAGUAUCGAAGCUAACGCGAUAAGUUCUCCGCCUGGGGAGUACGGCCGCAAGGUUA